CCCCUCCCCCACCCACGGCUCCGCCCCCUGGGACCCCCCCAAGGGUGAGGAUUGGCCACACCCCUACGAGGAGGUGGAGCCUUGGGGGGGCUACGAGGAGGUGCCCCCGGAGCCCCUCGUGACCCCCCAGGGGGAGCUCGUCUGAGGGGGGGAGGGGCCAAAAACAGGCCCCGCCCACCCCCAACAACCCCCUCCCACUCUCAAUAAGCUCCUCCCACCACCACAAACCCCUCCCACUCAAAUAAGCCCCUCCCACCCC